rnacentral:rRNA from 1 species
GACGUAGGGCGCGAGCGUUGUCCGGAUUUAUUGGGCGUAAAGAGCUCGUAGGCGGCUUGUCGCGUCGACUGUGAAAACCCACAGCUCAACUGUGGGCUUGCAGUCGAUACGGGCAGGCUAGAGUUCGGUAGGGAGACUGGAAUUCCUGGUGUAACGGUGAAAUGCGCAGAUAUCAGGAGGAACACCGGUGGCGAAGGCGGCGAUCUGGGUCGAUACUGACGCUGAGGUGCGAAAGCGUGGGGAGCAAACAGG